UACAUUGACAUACACGGAUAUAAAAAAAAAGUGAACCUCGCUUUUCAUUCAUUAAUUUAUCUUUCUAUUAGCAAUUAAUAUCCGAGUGCGCUUCGUCACCUAAAUCAGAAAAUGUCCGAUUCUGGUAGAAAACGCUUGAAAAUCCACGUUGUUUACUGUGGUGCGUGAGGGUACGCUAAGAAGUAUAAAACUCUAAAAGAUCAGCUGGAAAGUGAUUUUCCUGGUCAACUUGAGUUUAGUUAUGAAGCCACUCGGAGUCAAACUGGUUGGCUUGAAGUGAGUUUAGAAGAUGGUACAAUUCUUCAUUCCAAAAAGAAUGGAGAUGGUUACAUCAAUGAAGCAAAAUAUGACAAAAUAGCAAGUGGUAUCACGAAAGCACUUGCGUGAGUUGCUUUUUUGAAAAAGAAGUCAAAUGACUUGGUUUUGGUUUAUUUGGUUGUUGCUUCAUGAAUAGUCAUGGAAAAAACCCUUUUUGGGAAUGACAUGAAUAUGAUACUUUUCAACGAACAAGUUAACCAAUGCUGACGAGUUUGAAAUUCUUUGAACAACUUUUUUAAAUCAAAUAAAUGAUGAAUAUUAAUUAUAAUC